UCAAACUCACAUCAGCUUAACCCUCUCAAAGUCUCCACCACCCACCCUCUUUUUCACACCGUCGUUCACUCUAUUGCUACUGCCAUUCACGUCGUCAUUGCUGCCGUCCACACCAUCGCUGCUGCGAUUCACUUUGCUGCUGUGUUCAAGCUGCCGCUGCUGCCGUCCACGCCGCUGCUGUUGGCGUCGCCCUUGCUGCCGUCUUAGGUAAUUAAGCUAGGAACGCAACAACUUUGUCAAAUUAGAUGUUUGCGAAAGGUUCUUGAAUUAACGAUUUUGAUUGUGGCUGUCAUUUUGGAUGUUGAUAAUGAUUCAUUGUGGCUGUCAAAUUAGAUGUUUACCUAUCUUUCUAGCAACAAAAGCAACUGAUAUCAAAUACAUAAUGUUAAUUUUGAAGGAUAAGAAAAUAGUUCUUAACUAAAAUACUUUGCCAUCUAAAUCUCUGUCUACUUGUAUCCACACUUCUCAUAAGAUUAUUUGUUCUCAAUACUGCAAUAUAGAAUAACCUUAUAGCAUCCCAUUGAUUGAGCAUGGCCUGUCAGGAAGGCGAUAAUUUUCUUUCCCAGCUGUUUCCCUCGAGCAGUGGAAUCAACCACAACAUCUUCAAUGUGCCCAACUUUUCCGCAAUCCCUUACGAACUUCUUUUCAAUAAACACACUCCCAGUUGCAAUAAUCUUCUCAGAUCGGUCAUCUUCAAUUACACAAAUAAUAUGAUCGACACCGUAAGAGCUAAUCUCUUCAAACCGCUCUUCAGAUUCCUUGUUUGAUAUUGAAUCACAAACGGUUAAUUAUAGCAGUAACUCUAUAAAUACAUUAUAACUGCUUAUUUGAUUUUUUUCUUUUUAUUGCGCAAGUAUUAUUUAAAUAUUUCUUAUAAUAAUUGUUAUAAAUAGAUCUAUUAUUUAAUGUUUAAAUAUGUUAAUAGUGUUAUUCUUUUCAAAUGUGGUAGAUAAACAUUUUAAAUAUGAAGUUGAAGAUCUACAAAGUGUAAUAAAUAUUGCAUUUUAUUUAGUUUUUAUUAUAUACAACAUUGUUUUAAAUUUUAUUGAAUUUAUAUUUGUUUUGUAUUAAUAUAUUGAACAUUUAAUGUUGAAUACUUAUACUUGAUUAGUUUAUGUUUUAUUAUUAUUUUUAUUCAUUUAAAUUAUUGUAAACGGGUUCGGUAAACGGGUAC
rnacentral:lncRNA from 1 species